CUAACAUCAACUUAUUAAUGAGUACUUACCAUGCACGUCCUUUUGGGUGUGAGUUACCUCACUCAGGAUGAUAUUUGCCUGCAAAACUCAAGAUGUCCUCAUUCUUAAUAGCUGAGUAGUAUUUCGUUCUAUAAAUGAUACACAUUUUCUGUAUCCAUUCCUCUGUCCUGGGACAUCUGGGUUGUUUCCAGCUUCAGGAUAUCACAAAACAAGCUGCUAUGAAAAUAGUGGAACAUGUGCCCCUGUGGCAUGGUGGGGCAUCUUCUGGGUAUAUUCCCAAGAGUGGUAUUGCUGGGUCUUCAGACAGGUCUAUUUAAACCUUUCUAAGUAGUCUCCAGAUUGAUUUCCAGAGUGGUUGUACCAGUUUCCCAUCCCACCAGCAAUGGAGGAGUGUUCCUUUCUCCACAUCCUUGCCAACAUGUGUUGUCACCUGAGGUUUUGAUCUUAGCCAUUGUGAUCAGUAUAAGGUGGAAUCUCAGGGUCAUUUUGAUUUACAUUUCUCUGACCUCUUAGGACUGUGAAUAUUUCUUUAGGUGUUGCGAAUUCUCAGUUUAGGUCUAUACCCCAUUUAAAACUGAAACCAUGAAGCACUCUAGCAUAAACAUUACAUAAAGCUCUUUAGAAGGGAUUACAUUUUUUUUCUCUCUGGAAUUUUUUUUUUCAACCUUUAAGUUUCAUGUGGCAGUAUUAAAUUUCUAUCUUAAUUCUAGGAUUUUCCUAUGUUUGGUAUAAUUGUAAAAUAAUGAAUCUUUAAAACCUUCAUAAUACAAUUCAUAGCUAUGAAAAAGUAUACAUAUUCAACAUUACCACUUCAGCAAGCUAUGUUCUUUUUUUCAAUAUUUUUAUUAGAUAUUUUCUUCAUUUACAUUUCAAAUGCUAUCCCAAAAGUUCCCUUUAACCUUCCCCUGCCCUGCUCCCUACCCACUCACUCCCACUUCUUGGCCCUGGCAUUCCCCUGUACUGGGGCAUAUAAAGUUUGCAAUACCAAGGGGCCUCUCUUCCCAGUGAUCAUAGCAGCCUUAUUUAUAAUAGCCAGAAGCUGGAAAGAACCCAGAUGUCCCUCAACAAAAGAAUGGAUACAGAAAAUGUGGUACAUUUACACAAUGGAUUACUACUCAGCUAUUAAAAGCAAGCUAUAUUCUAACUUAAGACAUGCUUCUCUCAAGUACCCAAGGAGCUGAAGGGGUUUGCACCCCCCCCCCCAAGAAGGAACAACAAUAUGAACUAACCAGUAACCCUAGAGCUCCCUGGAACUAAACCACCAAUCAAAGAAAACAUAUGGUGGGACUCAGGGCUCUAGCUGCAAUAUAGCAGAGGAUGGCCUAGUCGGCCAUCAAUGGGAGGAGAGGCCCCUUGGUCCUGUGAAGGUUCUAUGCCCCUGUACAGGGGAAUGGUUGGGCCAGGAAGCAGGAAUGGGUGGGUUGGGGAGCAAGCAGCGGGAGGGGAGAGAGAAUAGGGGAUUUUCAGAGGUUAAACUAGGAAAGGGGAUAACAUUUGAAAUGUAAAUAAAGAAAAUAUCUAAUAAAAAAUAAAAUUACAAAAGAAAGAAAGAAAGAAAGAAAGAAAGAAAGAAAGAAAGAAAGAAAGAAAGAAAGAAAGAAAGAAAGAGGAGAGGGGAGAGAGGGGAGAGAGAGUGGAGAGAGAGGGGAGAGAGAGGAGGGAGAGGAGAGGGAGAGGAGAGGAAGAGGAGAGGGAGAGGAGGAGAGGGAGAAGAGAAGAGGGAGAGGAGGAGAGGAAGAGGAGGAGAGGGAGAGGAGGAGAGGGAGAAGAGAGGGAGAAGGAGAGAGAAGGAGAGAGAAAGGAGAACAGAAAUGCUUCUCUCCACCUUAAAUCUUGAGGACCCUACUGGAGCAAUGACUACCUUCAGCCUCUGAUCCUUACAGAUAUUCGUGUUGCAACUUUAUUUAACAGUGGAAGUAAAAUGAUCAUCUGCUUCGAUUCAAAAUUUGGGCAGAUUUGAUUUCAAAUUGCUCUUAGGAGUUUCUAAAAAUAAAAUUAUCAACAAAAUGAUGAAGAUUUAUUAUACUUUGACAAAAUAGGAACACAGCAUAUCAGACCUCAACUCCCACCACUUGGCAGUUAACACCCUGUGAGACACUCACACCACACCCGCUCUGUCUUCCUGUCUACAUUACCAUCCUUCACUCUGUUUUGUGACUCAACAUUGCUCUUUAUCUCUCUCCCUUCCUCUUUCUCAUCCUCCUUCAACUUCUCUGUUUAGGAUUUUGCUUUGUUCUAUCCAUUCUUAAAAGUUCUGUGAUUAUCAUUCUGGUGAAGUCUAUCUGGGCUGCUUUCAUGAAGUCUCUCCAAUGUUUGUCACCCCCUUGUUUUGUUUCUGUGUCAUGCUUUAUUCUCCUAAUGUCUUAUUUUGUCUCUUUCUAAAUUGUCCUACAUAGAGGUCACAUUUUAUAUUGGUUUGUCAGCUCUGAUGAAGUAUAAAUACACAGAUAUUAUUGAAGGUGGAAGGAACAUGAGUAAUAUUCUUGCUUUGCCUUUAAUAUUAAAGAAAUUUAAGCUUGGGUUAAAUGUUUUGUUUUGGUUUUCUUUAAUGGCAGGAAUGAGGCUGCUGGCUUUUUGUAGUUCCAUAGUAUUUUCAAUACAUGUACCUCACUUUACACUCCACACACAACCAUGCACAGAGGUAUAUCCAGAGCAAUUGUCAAUGACUAUUUUUAUCAGUUAUUCUUUAAAAAAAUUUAGAAGAAAAGGCUAAAAUAUCUAAAAAUACCAAGCUUUAGGAGGAUGUGAAAAAUGUGCAUUUUCCAUUUUGAUGAGCAGGAGGAAUGUAAACCUUUAACCCUUUGGAUAUAAUUUAAUAACAAUUGGGAAAGAUGAAGUUGUUUAAUAUUUACAAUCUGGAGUUUCUAUUUUACCCCAGAGAAUUUCCUCAAUAGGCACACAAAAGGCAUAAAGAAUGAGCUACAGCAGUAUUUAUUGCUAAUAUAUUUAUGGUCAUAAAAUGUUGAUAUCAUUUAAAUUUUAGUAAAAGAAAAAUAGUUAUGUUUCAUUAAAAAUUUAAUAUUAUACUGUGUAAAUAAUGAAGUAUAACUCAUGUAACUAGGUUGAGAAAUCCUCAGUUGAAGUGUUGGAUGAUCAUGGCAAAUUGCUAAGUAAUACAUAUACUGUAAUACUAUUUAUGUAAAUGUUGAAGUAUAUAAAACAGUGUUGCUAUAACUCAGGGUAACAUAAAAUACAGAAAAAUAAAGAUAUUUGCUUGGGAUUGACAUCCCUAGAUGCAUGAACAUGCUGGUACCACUUCAGUCACAGUUGGGUGUGCAACUAAAUACAAAGCAGUAUACAUCAUUUCCCUUGCCACAGUGGUCAAGGAUUAUGAAGCUUUGUAACUGCUAUGUGUAUAUCCAGCACUUUAUUAUCCUCCUAUCUGCUAUAUUUUAAACAUAUAACCUCAAAAAUACACUAAUAUAUAGAGUAAUUCCAAAGGUAAUAUCCACAUAUGCCCCAAGCAAUGUCUGUAUAAAGCAUAAAGGGAGGUUAUACAUAACCUCCCAGAGGACCAUUUACAAUGUAAUAGCAGUCAUUUGGACUUAACACUUUUUGAAUGUUUCACAAACCAAUCUUCUUUAGUUAGUGCCGCUAAUAUGUGUUUAAUGCCCAGUUAACUCUGAAUGAAAAGAUGGCCUCAAGCAAAUAGGACCAGAGAUGCAUGGCCACAUGAAAGAAAAACUCCAAAAGUAAGAGACAGAGUGGCAUCUUGUGAAUUCUAGGCUCGGCAAAUAGUAGCCAAGUGUACAACUGUAUUCUGUCUCAUGGUGUCUGUGACUUAUCCUGGCUUCCUCUAGUGUUGUAUCCAGAAAAUGCUGGAAGGGAGGAAGAGAGUGAUUGGUUAUAUUUUUCACUUUGUUUAUACAUCUUUCGGUUUCUAAGGACCCUGAAGGUUUCUGAAAGUGACAGAAAGUACAAAGAACAUCUAGCAAAACCUUCAGUUCCCAAGUAAAGAAAACACAGCGUAAAGGAGGCUAUUCUUUCACAAGGUCACAAAGGAAUUUCAGAGAGAAGGAGUAGAGAGGAAAGCACUGAUGUUCUCUGCACUCCUGAACUGUGUGAGCUAACUACGAGUGGUUUCUCAUGAUCCAUUUUGAGAGCUAUGUGUUACUUACAAGAAAGUUAUCCCUGAAUCCACAAAUAUCACAUGUUCAUUUUAUUGUUACCCAGAGAUUUUAGGGUAAAAUCUUGGGCUGGAGCAACCCUCAAAAGCUAUGCAGACACUUGAGAAGUGUGGAUUGAGAAGAUUAGAAUAAUAAAAAGCAGAGAAUGGAGAUUUACCCAUGGUUGUCAUAUUGAUAAAAGGGAUAAACAAAAGUGUCUGAUGACUUCCCAGAUCAAAUUCAUGGCACGAAUAUAAGGCAUAGGUCUAAACAUAGGUGAAAUAGAUUCAGGAUUAAAUAAUUCUGCACAGGGUGUGGUUGCUCCCAUCAUAUAUAUUCAGUUCCAGUCUGGCCUGUGAGGCAAUGCAAUGUAUUUUCAGACCUCAUGAAAUCUCUUCUCCACAGACAAGUGUCAACUCUGCAUAGGUCCAAGCCUUUCCCUUUCCCUAGUAUAUGAUUUCAGGGAAUUUAAAUACUUUAAGGCCCCAUGAUUCAAUAGUCUUUGAGAUGAAGGAACAUAAGUAGCAUAUUCUAGAAUGUCUUUCUUUUGCUAGGAUGCAGUGGUUAUUAAGAAGAGAGAUAUUUUAACAACUUAGUCAAUAGAACUAAGAACAGUUAUCUAUUGGUCACGAGCUGAAAAUAGUUCAACUGUCUGUUUACUAGAUCUAUAAUGAUAAAAUAACAUGGAGCAAUAAUCAUAACAAGGUGCAUAACAACAUAAAGUUGAACCUCAGAAUCAUUGAAUACAAUAUAAUUUAUAUGCAAUUCUUAGAAAAGCCUAAUCAGUACAGACAGAAUGGCUAUAGUCUAGGGGUGGGAGCAGGAAGGAAGUAACCACAAAUUGUUACAUGGAUUUUUUUGCAGCAGUGUAACUAUUCUAAUGUUAAGAUUUUGGCAAUAGCUAUGUCACUCUGUUAAUCUCAUUGUCUUUCAAUAUACUUAAAGGGGUGACUUUUAUAGUAAGCAAAUUUUACCGAACAAAAGCCACUUUUUUCAAUUUUAUCAAAGUUAUUUAAUGAUGCAUUAAAAAGUAAAAACUUGUAGAUAUAGUGAUAAUUAAAAUAUCAAGGAGCACGUACCAGACUAAGACAAAGUACUGAUAAAAAAAUAUCUGAAGCAAGGAUACAGUUAACAUUUUAUUUUCCUAGUAAAUAAAUUCAGUGUUUGUUAUUGUUGUUUGGUUUGGUUUGCUUUUUAUUUUUUCCCAAUUUUAUUUAAUUGGGUAUUUUAUUUAUUUACGUUUCAAAUAUUAUCCCUUUUCCCAGUUUCCCCUCUACAACCCGCAUAUCCCAUCUUCCCUCCCCCUGCUACUAUGAGGGUGUUCACCCACCUGCUCACCAUUCCUGCCUUGCCAACCUUGCAUUCCCUUAAACUGGGGAAUGAAGCCUUCACAGGACCAAGAGCCUCUCCUCCCAUUGAUGCCCAACAAGGCCAUCCUCUGCUACAUAUGUGGCUGGAGCACCUGGACACUCCAUGUGUACUCUAUGGUUGGUGGUUUAGCUCUUGGGAGUUCUGGGUGGUUUGAUUGGUUGAUGUUCUUCCUAUGGGUUGCAAACCCCUUCAGUUCCUUCAGUCCCUUCUCUAACUCCUCCAUUGGGGAACCCGUGCUCAGCCCAGUGUUUGGCUGGGAGCAUUUGCCUCUGUAUUUACCAGGCUUUGAAAAGGCCUCUCAGAAGACAGCUAUAUCAGGCUCCUGGCAUCCGCAAUAGUAUCUGGGUUUGUUGUCUGUAUAUGUAAUGGAUCCCCAGAUGUGGCAGUCUCUGGAUGGCCUUUCCUUCAGUCUCUGUUCCACCCUUUGAAUUCAUUGUGUUUAAUAUCUGAGUAGUAUCCCAUUAUGUAAAUGUAGCACAUUUUCUGUAUUCAUUCCUCUGUUGAGGGGCAUCUGGGUUCCUUCCAGCUUCUGGCUAUUAUAAAUAAGGCUGCUAUGAACAUAAUAGAGCAUGUGUCCUUGUUAUAUGUUGGAGCAUCUUCUAGGCAUAUGCCCAGGAGUGAUAUUGCUCUGUCCUCAGUUAGUACUAUGUCCAAUUUUCUAAGGAGCCACCAUACUGAUUUCCAGAGUAGUUGUACCAGCUUGCACUCCCACCAACAAGGGAAGAAUGUUCCUCUUUUUCUACAUCCUUGCCAGCAUCUGCUGUCACCUGAGUUUUUUAUCUUAGCCAUUGUGACUGGUGUGAGGUGGAAUCUCAGGGUUGUUUUGAUUUGCAUUUCCCUGAUGACUAAGGAUAUUGAAAAAUUUUUAGGUGCUUAUCAGCCAUUUGGUAUUCCUCAGUUGAGAAUUCUUUGUUUAGCCUGUACCCCAUCUUUAAUAGAGUUAUCUGGUUCUCUGGAGUCUAAUUUCUUGAGUUCUUUGCAUAUAUUGGAUAUUAGCCCUCUAUUGGAUGUAGAGUUGGUAAUGAUCUUUUCCCAAUCUGUCAGUUGCCAUUUUGUCCUAUUGACAGUGUCAUUUCUCUUAUAGAAGCUUUACAAUUUUAUGAUUCACAUUCCUCAAUUCUUAAUCUUAGAGCAUAAGCUAUUGGUGUUCUUUCAGGAAAUUUUCCCCUGUGCCCACUUAUUCAAGGCUCUUCCCUACUUUGUCUUCUAUUUGUUUCAGUGUCUCUGGUUUUAUGUGAAGGCCCUUGAUGCACUUGUACUUUGCUUUGUACAAGUAAAUAAGAAUGGAUUGAUUUGGAUUCUUCGUCAUGCUGACCCCCAGGUGAUCCAGCACCAUUUGUUGAAAAUGAAACAAAAGCCAUUUUUAAAGAUGGAUAAAACACAUAUGUUGUCCUUGAAAUAUGGGUUACUUAUCUACACCUAACAUACCUACUACCUGUGGCAAAAUGAGCAUUUCUAAAAUUCUUAUUUAUUUAUUUGUCUAUGUAUUCAUUUUAGGUACUGCCCAUAGUUAGAACUUUCCUGUAAAUACCUGUUUCUUUCUCAUCACAACCCUAAAAGACACAUUAUUAUCUAAUUUUAGUUACUAAAUCACUGAGCAUUACAUUCAGUUCCACACAGCAUCCACAAAGCUGAGAGGAGGCUUGAACACUUGGUUUCCUAAACUCUCAACCACAAGGCCAUUGUGUACUUGCUACAUGCUUAAGAUGGAUGAAUAACUGAUAAAACAAGGAUGAAGGCUUGCAUCAGUGGCUUUCUUGCAAAGGCUAUGCAGCAGAGAAUGAGUGGGUCCUCUUAGAUUAAGAACUCCUGUAACAGUUUUAGUACUUUUAGGAAAAUAAAGCCUUUAUUAUUUCCUGUAAUUUAUCUCUAAAGUGAUAUGAUAAAUUGUGGCAUAAAAUGUCCAUGGUUUUUGGACUGAGUUAUUAAAGAACAGUAGACAAUUGCCUUUUGGCCACCAGCCAUGAAUCUUACACCAGAGCAUCUAUUCUCUCUCCAUAACACAUCUUUAAUUUACUGUGGCAGGUUUAUGCAGGAUAUUUGUAUUGAUGGAUUCUGCUGUUCUUUCUCCUUUUAUCUUACAAAAGAACACCCCAGGAUGUGUCAUCAGUUUUUUUCUCUCUUUUUAAUUUAUCUGAUGGGAAAAAUCACAAUGGAAUUGCCACAUUUAUAAAUAUUAAAUUAUAAUGUAGUAUAAAUAUAAAUAUAUUAAAUUCCGGUUUUGAUAAGAUAGUAGAAUAAGGCAGGGAGAUUCAGGAAUGCAGGUUAGACUAUAUAAUUGCUCUAUGCAUUGGAGAACUUGACUUCUGUGUUGAUUAAAUGGUAUAAAACCACAUACCUUAUCUUACCAAUGACAACAUAAAAAAUAUAUGAAAGUGAAGAUCUGCCUCUAUGAAGAGAGCAGAACUAAAGUCAAGGCCUGAUAAGCUUUUAAAUUUUAAUCACUCAAUAUUAUAUUGAUUAUUAUUUAUAUUUUUAUAUUCUUUUCAAAAUGGUAAAAUUGUUAUUCAGGGAAAUAGUGACUUAUGAGACCAAUGAUGAUGAUGAUAUUGUAUUAAUAUAUGCCUGUGUUCAUUUAUGGUAUGCUUAUAUGUGUGUUUAUGUAUGUGUGUGUAUUUGUCUUUCUUUCUGUCUGUCUGUGUCUUUGUGUAUUUAGAGACCAGGGAUUAGCCUAAUAUACUUUUUUUUUUUUUUUUUUUUUUGGCUUUUUGAGACAGGGUUUCUCUCUAUAUCCCUGGCUGUCCUGUAGUUCACUUUGUAGGCCAGGUUGGCCUUGAACUCAGAAAUCUGCCUGCCUCUGCCUCCUGAGUGCUGGGAUUAAAGAUGUGUGCUACCACACCUGGCUAAGAUACUACUUCUUAAGAUGGCAAUACACAUUGUUUUUGAGACAUAGUGCUUCAUUGGGACCUAAAGCUCUCUGAUUAGGCACUGCCAAUUAGUGAUCAAAGAUUCUUAUGUCUCUGUCUCCCAAGAACUGGGAUUAGAAAAUUCUAUCAUCAUUCCCACAUUUUAUGUAGGCUAGUCCUCAGGCUUGCUGGCAAAACAUUCAUUCUCUAAAGAGAAUGACUUUUCACUGCAGCCUCAAGGAAGUUUUAAAGAAUCUAUUUGUGUAAAGAUGAAAUCCAAGAUGAUGAAAGAAUAACUGAAAAAAUAAGUGUUUCUAUUGGACUUAGGGGCCAUAGUCUUAAAUAGUCUAAUUGGGAGAUUUCUCUACAGAGGUAACAUCUGGACAAAGACAGAAAUUCUGAGAAGGAAGCAUCUUAGCAAAAUAUGCAGAAAAGCAAAAUUCUGGAGAAAAGAGCAUCAGGUACAUGGGUUCUAAGGAGGUUAAAAAAAUGUCUAUGUUAGAGGAGCUCAAAGAAAAUCACUGAGACUAAGCACUGCUGGAAGUGUUGGGCAGGCAACUCUUGGUAAACUGUAAUGAAUUUGGAUUUUAUCCUAAAAAGAAUAUGAAGUCAUUGGGUCACUUAAGGUAAUGACACAAUAUAAGCCUAUAAGAACAUUUUGGAUUGAAGUAGGGGAGGGUGAAAAGACAUAAAAAGAAAUGGCAAUACCAAACAGGAAGAAAUAUGGAAGUCCCCCAGUGAAGCACUUUAGAGGGGCUAGAGAAGAGUCUGUCAUGUUUGAGACGAAAACUCAGCAAAUUUUGUAAAGUGUUGUUAUGAGCACAGAGAAAAUGCUACCAGAGCUUGUUAGAAUCAAAGCCUGGACCCUGACAGUGCUAACAAGUUAGGCUCAGUAAGAGAAAAGUACUGUAGAAAAGCAAAGGAAAAAAAGAUUUACUCAGUGUGCCUACAUUGAGAAUAGGAACAAAUGAUGCCUCCCACCCCACCCCACCCCUACAAACACACACACACACACACACACACACACACACACACACACACACACACACACCUGCUAUCAGUAGUUACCUGGCCUGUGGUAUGAGGUUCAAGUUUAAAAAGAAAGAAAAAGGUAUGCUUAAACAUGUCAUCCUGGACAAGACAUCACACUUCCUGCCCAUCAUUAUAUUAGCUCCAGUCCCUCUGGGAAAGGAUCUUUACCUAUCCUAAAUCAGAUAGGGGACUAAUAUCCAACAUAUAUAAAGAACUCAAGAAGGUGGACUCCAGAAAAUCAAAUAACCCCAUUAAAAAUGGGGCUCAGAGCUGAACAAAGAAUUCUCACCUGAGGAAUACCGAAUGGCAGAGAAGCACCUGAAAAAAAUGUUCAACAUCCUUAAUCAUCAGGGAAAUGCAAAUCAAAACAACCCUGAGAUUCCACCUCACACCAGUCAGAAUGGCUAAGAUCCAAAAUUCAGGUGACAGCAGAUGCUGGCAAGGAUGUGGAGAAAGAGGAACACUCCUCCAUUGUUGGUGGGAUUGCAAGCUUGUACAACCACUCUGGAAAUCAGUCUGGCAGUUCCUCAGAAAAUUGGACAUAGUACUACCACAGGAUCCUGCAAUACCUCUUCUGGGUAUAUAUCCAGAAGAUGUUCCAACUGGUAAGAAUGACACAUGCUCGCUAUGUUCAUAGCAGCCUUAUUUAUAAUAGCCAGAAGCUGGAAAAAACCCAGAUGCCCCUCAACAGAGGAAUGGAUACAGAAAAUGUGUACAUUUACACAAUGGAGUACUACUCAGCUAUUAAAAAUAAUGAAUUCAUGAAAUUCCUAGGCAAAUGGAUGGACCUGAAGGGCAUCAAACUGAGUGAGGUAACCCAAUCACAAAGGAAAUCAUACAAUAUGUACUCACAUAUAAGUGGAUAUUAGCCCAGAAACUUAGGAUACCCAAGAUAGAAGAUACAAUUUGCUGAAAGCAUGAAAUUCAAGAAGAAUGAAGACCAAAGUGUGAACACUUUGCCCCUUCUUAGAAUUGGGAACAAAACACCCAUGGAAGGAGUUACAGAGACAAAGUUUGGAGCUGAGACGAAAGGAUGGACCUUAGAGACUACCAUAUCCAGGGAUCCAUCCCAUAAUCAGCUUCCAAAUGCUGACACCAUUGCAUACACUAGCAAGAUUUUGCUGAAAGGACCCAGAUAUAGCUGUCUCUUGUGAGACUAUGCCAGGGCAUAGCAAACAUAGAAGUGGAUGCUCACAGUCAGCUAUUGGAUGGAUCACAGGGCCCUCAAUUGAGGAGCUAGAGAAAGUACCCAAGGAGCUAAAGGGAUCUGCAACCCCAUAGAUGGAACAACAUUAUGAACUAACCAGUACCCCAGAACUCUUCUUGACUCUAGCUGCAUAUGUAUCAAAAGAUGGCCUAGUCAGCCAUCACUGGAAAGAGGCCCAUUGAACUUGCAAACUUUAUAUGCCCCAGUACAGGGGAAUGCCAGGACCAAAAAGUGGGAGUGAGUGGGUAGGGGAGUCGGGGGGAGGGUAUGGGGGCCUUUUGGGAUAGCAUUGGAAAUGUAAAUGAGGAAAAUACCUAAUAAAAUAUUUAAAAAAAAAAAGAUAUCAAAACGAUGUGAACUAGUCUUACAGAAGGCAUUUCACCCCCCUUUAAAUAGUGCUAUUGAUACCAGGACCAAAGCCUUUCCUUUUCCUGGCCUGGAGAAAAAUCCAAUUCCUUGGGAACCUUAGUUUACUGAUAACCACAAGGAAGGUCAAACUUAUGUCUACAUAAACAUCUUUGCUCCUGCCAGGAGGGUUACAAGACAGCAAAGAAUUGUGCCCAUGCAAAAGUCACUAUUAUGCCUGGCAAAUGGAUAAUGAUCCUAGAAUGAGUCCUUAUGGGCAUAAAAAUCACAAAUUUCAGAAUAGAAAUGAUAGUUCUCUGUAGGAUAUACCAUAAUUGAGAUAUUUCUGAGAUCUUCUAGGAAAGAGACUAAUACUGACAAGGGUGAGCCAUUUGGAGUGAAGGAAAGUCUGAGCCAGAGAAGUAACAUGGAGUCAUUACCAUGAAAAUACUUUACAUUAAUUGUCCAAGGGAAAUGAUAGAGGGAGUUUCAUAUGUUGUAACAAUAAAUGAUCAGAGUCUUGGGACUUAUCCAGUUUAGUAAUAUACAAGAUUAAUUAUUUUUAUUUUAUUUUUAUUAAAUUAUUUUAUUUAUUUACUUUCCAAAUGUUGCCUCCCCAAGUUUACUCCCUCUGCAAUCUCUUUUGGUUCUGAGAGGGUGCUCCCCACCCAUCCACCCACACCCACUCCUGCCAGCAUACUGCUUCCCUUGGGCAUCAAUUUCUACAGGAUUAAGGACUUCCUCUCCCACUGAGGCAGGGUAAGACAAUCUCCUGCUACAUAUAUGACUGAGACCACAGAGCAGACCAUGUGUGCUCUUUAGUUGGUGGCUCAGUCUCUGGGAGCUCCCAGGGGUCCUGAGAGUUUACACUGUUAAUCUUCUCAUGGGACUACCAUCCUCAUCAACUCCUUCAAAACUUCCUCUAAUUCUUCCAUAAGGGCCUCUGACCUCAUUCCAAUGGUUGGCUGUAAGUAUCUGCAUCUGUCUCAGCCAUCUACUGGUAGAGUCAGUAUACACACACACACACACACACACACACACACACACACACACACACACACAGAGAGAGAGAGAGAGAGAGAGAGAGAGAGAGAGAGAGAGAGAGAGAGAAACCUCAAGUGGAUCAAAAACCUCAACAUAAAAUCAGAUACACUAUAUCUAAUAGAAGAGAAAGUGGGAAAUAACCUUGAACAUAUUUGUACAGGGUAAAAUUUCAUGAACAGAACACCAGUGGCUCAGGCUCUAAGAUCAACAACUGACAAACUGGAUCACAUGUAGUUGAAAAGCUUCUGUAAGACAAAGAACAUUGUUAGUAGGGACAAAAUGGAGACCUAAAGAUUUGGAAAAGAUAUUCACUAACCCUACAUCUGCUAGAGGGCUAUCUAAAAUAUACAAAGAACUCAAGAAGUUAGACCCCCCCCAAAAAAAACUAAUUAAGCCAUUUUAAGAAUUGGGUAUGAAACUAAACUGAAAUCUCAACAGAGGAAUCUCAAAUUGCCAAGAAGCACCUAAAUGUUCAACAUCUUUAGUCAUAAGAGAAACGCAAAUCAAAAUGACCCUGAGUUCCACAUCAAACCAAUCAGAAUGGCUAAAAUAAAAAUUCAAGUGAGCGCACAUGCUGACAAGGAUGUGAAGAAAGAGAAACACGCUCUUCCAUUGCUGGUGGGAUUGCAAACUGGUACAAUCACUCUGGAAAUCAAUCUGGUGGUUCCUCAGAAAAUUGGAAAUAGUUCUAUCUGAAGACUCAGCUAUACUCCUCCUGAGCAUGUACCCCAAAGAUUAAUUCUUAAUAUGCAGAACAUCUGUUAGCAGAAAAGAGAUUAGAAUUAACUCUCUAUGGAUUUAUCAAUGUUAUAUUUUAUUGUGCACUACAAUCACAAUAUCAUACAAGCAUAUUGUUCAAGUUUUAUUUAUGCAGAUAUAUCUGGGCUAACACAGUAUAGAUUUUAAAAACUGAACAUUAAAGAAAUUGUGUGGCUUCAAUGAUUAGAAAUUCUAAUAUUGAUAGUUUUGUUAGAGGGAAGACUGUUGAGAUCUUGGUAAAUUUCACCUAUGUAAGUACCCCUGUUAUUCCUGAGAAGCUUCUAUGUAUGUGAUACAUUAGUUCAGUCACUAAGGAGGCAAUGGAUCUUUCUUCCCACAAAGUAAGUCUAAUGGAAGGAGCUAUGUAGUGAGCAAGCAAUUAUUGUUAGUCGGCCAUCAAUGGGAGGAGAGGCCCUUGGUCUUGUGAAGAUCAUAUGCCCCAGUACAGGGGAACGCCAGGGCCAGGAAGUGGGAGUGAGUGGGAUGGGGAGCAGGGCAGGGGGAGGGUAUAGACGACUUUAGGGAUAGCAUUUGAAAUGUAAAUGAAGAAAAUAUCUAAUUAAAAAAAAAAGAAA
rnacentral:lncRNA from 1 species